UAAGGAGCUUGCUCCUUUGACGUUAGCGGCGGACGGGUGAGUAACACGUGGGUAACCUAGCCUAUAAGACUGGGAUAACUUCGGGAAACCGGAGCUAAUACCGGAUAACAUUUGGAACCGCAUGGUUCUAAAGUAGAAAGAUGGUUUUGCUAUCACUUAUAGAUGAGACCCGCGCCGUAUUAGCUAGUUGGUAAGGUAACGGCUUACCAAGGCGACGAUACGUAGCCGACCUGAGAGGGUGAUCGGCCACACUGGAACUGAGACACGGUCCAGACUCCUACGGGAGGCAGCAGUAGGGAAUCUUCCGCAAUGGGCGAAAGCCUGACGGAGCAACGCCGCGUGAGUGAUGAAGGGUUUCGGCUCGUAAAACUCUGUUAUUAGGGAAGAACAAACGUGUAAGUAACUGUGCACGUCUUGACGGUACCUAAUCAGAAAGCCACGGCUAACUACGUGCCAGCAGCCGCGGUAAUACGUAGGUGGCAAGCGUUAUCCGGAAUUAUUGGGCGUAAAGCGCGCGUAGGCGGUUUCUUAAGUCUGAUGUGAAAGCCCACGGCUCAACCGUGGAGGGUCAUUGGAAACUGGGAAACUUGAGUGCAGAAGAGGAAAGUGGAAUUCCAUGUGUAGCGGUGAAAUGCGCAGAGAUAUGGAGGAACACCAGUGGCGAAGGCGACUUUCUGGUCUGUAACUGACGCUGAUGUGCGAAAGCGUGGGGAUCAAA
rnacentral:rRNA from 1 species